UGAUAAUUUACUUUUUAAAAUUUAUUAAAACUGCAAGUUGUUAAUUACCGUGUCAUAGUUUGGUUUACCAGUGAUUAAAAAUCAAUAGGAUUAAGUACGGAGAUAUUGCCCGUAGGUAAUAUUGUUUAUGACAGGAACAUUUAUUUUCACACCUUAUACUUAUAUCACUGUUUAUUAUAUCGUGAUUAGGGAAAUGAGCUUUCAAUCAUAAAGUUUUGAAUGCCUUAUAGAAUUCAGACAAGAAUUU
rnacentral:lncRNA from 1 species